UAAUGAUGACAGACAUUCCCUGUGCUGGAGCUGCUUCCCUUCAUUCUGAUGAAGAUGUGAUGAGCUAACCACAGGAUGCUUGUGUCUUGAAGGCAGCCAUCAGCCUUUGCUACAUGCAAGCUAGCAAGAAAGAAAGAUUUGGAGAAAAAGGGGGGUUGGUGUGUGUGCAGGAAGAAGUCUGCAUGUGCAGUGGUCAGGGCUUAGCCUUGCUUUGCUUAGGCAGCCUUUGAGGAGGUUGAGCACCUGCUGAUUCCUGUGGGAAUUGAAGAUACUCCAUAUUUUGCAGGAGAGAGGCCAGCCUCCUCCAGAUCUGCACUGCCAGUUGCCUGCUGUGGCAGCCAAAACAGGUGCAGCUUGGAGCUUAUUGAUCUCAGCUGACGCCCAUAGCGUGAGGUAAAACUUAACUUUUGCAGAGCUGUGGUGUUUGUGCUCACUGUCAUGGUUUUACAUCAAUAUGGAAGCACCCUGGUUCUUUAGGAGCACAGUUGCUGUGUGUGUGUUGUGUACAACCUGUGUAAAAACCAACCUUCGUUGUGAAGGCCAUUAUAAAGAAAACUAUGUGUGAAUUGCUAUCCUUUAUUUUAAACCCAUUCUCUACACUCUGUCUGGGAGAGGAAGUAAAUCCACCCAGGUUAGCUCAACUGCAUGGAUAAGGAGGGAUUUUCUCUGCUGCUUCCCUGUUCUUGUACAUAUGGUUUAAGCCCAGACUGCUUUCUGCUGCCCUCCCCACACUUCCCUCUCUCUCUCAGGUCUACCAACUUAUUUCCCACUUGCUUUUGAUGCUCCUGAAGGGCAGACUUUGGACUGCUUGUGCUUGUUGAUCCAGCUCUGCAGUGCAACAAGCUGGCCAGUGUGGUGGGCCGCUGGCUUGCAGGAACAGCGUGUGGGAUUUUGUCCAUCUUAAUGUGCUCCCUGGCAAUUGCAGGGAUAUACCUUAUGUAGCAAUGCCAGCAUGGGCCUGAAAAAUACAGCAGUUGACCAGCAUUAGUGUGCAAACAAGGAUGCAUUUAAAAUAAAUGUGUUAGUACGAUGCUCUUGUUACUUUUUGCUUUGCGGAAUAUAGGUCAGCUGCCUGGCACAAGUGUUAGGGUUGUGCCCAUUUUUAUCAGCCUGUGAAAACUCAUCAAGUUCAUGAACUCAAAAACACUUUAAUUAAAAAUAAUAAUAACCAUAAUUGUAAGAAGAAACCACCACCACAACAACAAAAAACCUCUUACCUAUCAACUUCUAUUUACUUGUUUAAUUUGACAAAUGCUAAGAAAGUCCCCUCUGCUGGCAGUUGGUGUAACAGUUUUUCAGACCACAAGGUAUUUGUACAUCAAAAUAUAUAUAUACUUAGGCUUUCCUGAAGAAAUUUCUGACAAAUCUUAAGCUUUGUUUCUUCUAUCAGCUGCACUGGUAUUUUUGACCCUGCCAAAACACAGGAGAUAUUAUAAUGCACAGCCUUGCUAUUAAGAGGAAGGUGAUAUUGAAGUUAGGAGUGCAAUGAAAUAUCUGGAGAGAUGGAAGGCUCUAGUUGAAAGGAUGCUAUUAUAGUCCUUUCUGAAAGUUAUCAGUACAGAAGGGCUGUUUUAAUAUACAGCGCUAGUUUCAGAAAGCAUCAGAUUCCUGACACUGUCAUUAGUCACACUGCUCUUUCAUUCAGAGCGGCAAUACUUCAUUUUCUUACCGAGCGCCUGUAGACUUUAUUUCAAAUAGUUUCAUAGCUGAUAUCAACAAUUGAAAAUGUGCUGAUCAAACAUCAGGAUCUCAGAGGACUUCAGAAAAUUAACAAAUAAAACCUCACAAAUGGCAUGUAGCGUGUGUGUUGAUGUGAGACGAAGAAAAUAGGUGCCCGUGCAAACAGAGUUGGUUUUUCAGGAAUUGUCAUUUGGGACAUUUUCACCCUGUCUGUAUUUUCUCCAAGGCUCCUUUUGCUUUAACUCUGCAGUGUCUCUGCCCUUUUACUGGGGUCUGGCUGCUGCUUCUGGCAAUUGCCACAGCAGCUACACAAAACCUUUCUAAGCAUGACCUGGAAGGAAAACCUGUCCCUGAACGAAAAGCGAAGGAAAUUCAACAGGGUACAAUCUCGUCUUAUGUGCUGAAAUUUUGAUAGGCCUUUUGGCUGGUUACUGCUUACUCUUCUGCAGGAACGUCUCCUGCAUUUCUUAUUCCUGGUUGCGUAAGCCUUGUCAACACUCAGGAAAAGGGACAGGACCUGGACAUGACACCCUACUUUGGAGUGAGGACAGAUAUACCACAGAAAAAGUGCUGUAAGCCCCAUCUAUACGCAGCUUUCAUUCUCACUAAAAUAAAAGAAGUGCUGGUAUAAAAUUAUUCCUGUUAGUACUGGACACUGACCCAGGAAUGAACCUUGGCCUCAUUUUCAGCUUGCGUGUAGCAGCCUGGAGAAUGCUGGAACCUUCUGGACAGCCAAAAGGGCUGUUGCUGUUUAAAAUGUAUCUUUAGAAACAUCAAACAGAGUGAAUAAAUUAAAAUGUGUAUAGCUGUCAUCGCUGAGAAUGUAUUUCUGGUUCACUGAUUUAAUGUAGACAAUUGUGGUUUUCCAUGGUGAUUGCGUAGCAAGUCAUGCGGCUCAGAGAAUUAAUUGAGUUGUAACACCUUGUGCUUUAGGUGAUGAAAUGUUUUCUUGUCUCGUAAGUCCUGUGGCAACCCUACGUGCACAGUUGAGUACGUGAAUAUUGGGAAUGUCUUCAAAGUGAGCCAAGCUCCAUUGAGGAGCAAACUGGAGUAGUUGUAGGGCAGAGCCCUGCAAUUAGGAAACCUUACUGUGGGGCAGGAUUAUAGAGAUGUUAGGGUUCAUUAAUUGGAAAAAACACAUCAGUAAAGUGAGGAAGGGGUUCACCCUUUGCGUUGACUCUUCAGAGACGGUAGGCAGGGGCAGAGACACCCACCAGAUAGAGUUCUGUCAGAACAAGCGCCCCCAGGGUGUAUUUUGACAACACCACAGACAGCUGGGCAGGGAGCAGCCUGAAUUUAUGGCGGUGAUCCUGGACUGCAAAGCCAGAGCAUUGCACCGUGUGUCAGCCACCACUUGGUGCAUUACAAGCUGUUUCUCAUUGCUUUUCGCUUUCCUGGAAGUAAAUUUUUUAUCAUGCUAUAAAUGAGGUAACUGAGGGGAACCUGCUACUGGCAAUUUGCAUGCUAGUUUGUCUCUAAUUACUGGAAUAUCAUUACUGAGGCUAAAAGCACGAGACGAUAAUAUGAAAAAUACACACACAAAAUCCAUAGGGCUAAAGGGCAGUAACUAUUUUUGGAUGAGCAGCUUUGCCUUUUAACAGGGAAGGAAAAAAAAGCACCUAGAUUUAUUACUAAUGAUGGUAUAAAUGCAGACUAAUGCAAUUUUAGAGUUCAAUUGAAAAGGGAAAUCUCAAAUUAAAAGUGAUUCGUAGUAUCAUCUAGUGAAAUACCUGACAGAAGAACGAACACAGAAAAAAGAUGAGACCAGUGCCAUCCCAGAGCCUUACUUGUCACGAUGGAGCUAAAAUAGUCAGGGGGACCAUAAUCUUUGUGAGAGUUUGGGAUAUGAAGGAGCUGUGCCUUUGGACCAUCGGUGUCCCCUUUAGUGUAGGAGACAUGGUGAUGUGAGUGUGCGAGGGCUUGUGCCUGCAUCAUCUGGUGUAAGAAGGGACUGGAAGCACUGUAGUCGAGGUGUUACCAGAGCCUGUUCUCUCAUCUCGCUUUUCGUGUCCAUGAUAUAUCUAAUGAAUAACAUCUUUCCAGGUUUUGUGGGACCUCAGACAGGUCUCUUUGCUUGUCUUGCUUCAGGUAGUGCUUCUCUGUCAGCCUGGGGAAUAUCAAAGUCUGGGUAUUUUUUAUUUUUCCAGAAUAAUGGAUUUAAAUAACAUCCUCAUCUUCUGCUUUCUGUCAGCUAAAGCAGCAUCUUCCUCGUGCAGCUGUAGGUAUGACUCUUAAUGAGUCAAUAAACAGCUACAUGUAUAAUUUGUUAUCUAGCUCUGCCUUAUUUACAGAAGUAAUGCAGCUUUCACUAAUAUUUGAUGACUACAAGCGAGGUGGUAAGUUAGGUAAUUGCUAGCAAAGUUACUGAUGCAGAACAACUUAAGUAAGUGUAAAGUUUGUCAGGCUCUCACCAGCUUCCUCCCAUCCUGGGAACAGAGUGCUGUGUGGGGGUCACAUCUGUGCAACCACAGGAGGCCUGUGUGGGAUUUAGGGGCACUUUUCCUCCACAUAUGGCAUGGUGAAACCUCAACAGUGAACAAAAGCACCCUGGCAAGAAGUAAGGGGAUGUUACUGAGAAAUAUUGCCUCAGGGAGCCGCCUAAGGGGUUCUGUGAGGAGAGCACGGCACUGCCCAGGAAGCUCCAGAAGGUUCCACCACAGGGCCUGGUCCUGGCGGUGCCUCUGUGCAAAUGGGCAGAGGAGCAAAAAAAAAAAAAGCUCUGGGAAAGGGUGUUCUGAGGAGGCAGUUUGUUUCUGUCUGAAGAGAGAAAAUUCAUCUUUGAAGGCUGUGGGGCACCUACAGGAUGAAAUAAACACUGACUGAUGAAGUGUGGAAUGACCACAGGAGCUACCUUCUGCGUGUGGACACCCUUGUGCAAGCGUGCAGCGAACCACCCUGCCUCAUUCAAAUCCCUACUGAAAAUGUCUCUCUGCUCACAAAAGCAUUAACAGGUACAUAGUGCUCCUUGGAGAAAUGAAUGUCUGCGAGUCUUUUCAUAAAUAAUUGCAGCAGAGUAAAUGGAUCUGGUACUUUGGCUUCUGGGACUCUGGCUUCUGGGACUCUGGCUUCAGCUAUGUGUAGGCUGUGAAGCCUGAUUCUGAGCUACUCAUUAUGGAGAAAGCUUCAGAAAAGUUGAGCCAAAAUCACAUGAUGGUGACAGGAAGGGAGGAAGGGAUGGACUUUUCUGAGAAGACCAGACUUUGGAGAUCCAGUAGUGUAGAAACUCGUCAUGUGGACUGUGGGUUUCUUCACCUAGGGUUGAAAUUUUUUUUUUUUUUCUUUUAAAUUGAAAGUGCUGUCAUGGAGAGUAACGGAUUGGGAGGAUAACAAACAGACCAGUGAGUGGGCAAUGAGUUGUCUAAGCUGAGUACAUAUGCAAAAGAUUAUUAUCUUUAAGCAAAGGAUCACAGGAAAACACUUUUCUUUUCAGGCAAAUGAAGGUAUCAUUUUCUGCGUAGGUAGAGUCAGAUUUUUUUUGACAGGGAAUUAGGAGAAACAAAAGACUUCCUGUAAAAUUAUGUCAGAAGGCUUAUUGUGAUUCAGAAUAAAGGUUUGGGUGUCAUUCUGACUUAUGAUAUGUUGUUGUCUUUUCCUUUUGGUGAAAUACAGCUGUGGGAUGUAAUUACUGCGUUUGUAAUGUACCUUGUCCAGUAGUCAUCUUUUCCCCUUGAAAUAUCUUAUGGGAGCUAAAAUGUCCUGUUGUAAUAAUGACCCAUUGCAGUAAUAAAAUUGUCAGGCCAGGUGUAUGAUUGACCACUUCGUAUUGUUGUAACUGUCCUUCUCAUAUCGCAUUAGUCUGCCUUUAUUACUAUUGUGCAUCAUGUUUAUGGGGACACCGUAAAAUUUGUAGGCACUUGCACAGUAUUCCCCUUCCCCCCUCCAUCAACGGGGGCUAUUUUUCCCUACUCUUCCAUUUUCAUAUUUUGUUGUACAAGAAGUUCUUGUACUAUUAUUUUAGUUUUGGGGCAGAAAAAGACGUGAAAUUCAAGGC